rnacentral:rRNA from 1 species
CCAUGCAGUCGAACGGAAGGUCUCUUCGGAGAUACUCGAGUGGCGAACGGGUGAGUAACACGUGGGUGAUCUGCCCUGCACUUCGGGAUAAGCCUGGGAAACUGGGUCUAAUACCGGAUAGGACCACGGGAUGCAUGUCUUGUGGUGGAAAGCGCUUUAGCGGUGUGGGAUGAGCCCGCGGCCUAUCAGCUUGUUGGUGGGGUGACGGCCUACCAAGGCGACGACGGGUAGCCGGCCUGAGAGGGUGUCCGGCCACACUGGGACUGAGAUACGGCCCAGACUCCUACGGGAGGCAGCAGUGGGGAAUAUUGCACAAUGGGCGCAAGCCUGAUGCAGCGACGCCGCGUGGGGGAUGACGGCCUUCGGGUUGUAAACCUCUUUCACCAUCGACGAAGGUCCGGGUUCUCUCGGAUUGACGGUAGGUGGAGAAGAAGCACCGGCCAACUACGUGCCAGCAGCCGCGGUAAUACGUAGGGUGCGAGCGUUGUCCGGAAUUACUGGGCGUAAAGAGCUCGUAGGUGGUUUGUCGCGUUGUUCGUGAAAUCUCACGGCUUAACUGUGAGCGUGCGGGCGAUACGGGCAGACUAGAGUACUGCAGGGGAGACUGGAAUUCCUGGUGUAGCGGUGGAAUGCGCAGAUAUCAGGAGGAACACCGGUGGCGAAGGCGGGUCUCUGGGCAGUAACUGACGCUGAGGAGCGAAAGCGUGGGGAGCGAACAGGAUUAGAUACCCUGGUAGUCCACGCCGUAAACGGUGGGUACUAGGUGUGGGUUUCCUUCCUUGGGAUCCGUGCCGUAGCUAACGCAUUAAGUACCCCGCCUGGGGAGUACGGCCGCAAGGCUAAAACUCAAAGGAAUUGACGGGGGCCCGCACAAGCGGCGGAGCAUGUGGAUUAAUUCGAUGCAACGCGAAGAACCUUACCUGGGUUUGACAUGCACAGGACGCGUCUAGAGAUAGGCGUUCCCUUGUGGCCUGUGUGCAGGUGGUGCAUGGCCUGUCGUCAGCUCGUUGUCGUGAAGAUGUUGGAGUUUA